rnacentral:rRNA from 1 species
CAGCCGCCGCGGUAAUACAGAGGGUGCGAGCGUUAAUCGGAUUUACUGGUCGUAAAGCGUGCGUAGGCGGCUUCUUAAGUCGGAUGUGAAAUCCCUGAGCUUAACUUAGGAAUUGCAUUCGAUACUGGGAAGCUAGAGUAUGGGAGAGGAUGGUAGAAUUCCAGGUGUAGCGGUGAAAUGCGUAGAGAUCUGGAGGAAUACCGAUGGCGAAGGCAGCCAUCUGGCCUAAUACUGACGCUGAGGUACGAAAGCAUGGGGAGCAAACAGGAUUAGAUACCCCCGUAGUCCCUGUCUCUUAUAA